rnacentral:rRNA from 1 species
UACGUAGGGUGCAAGCGUUAAUCGGAAUUACUGGGCGUAAAGCGUACGCAGGCGGCUAUGUAAGACAGGUGUGAAAUCCCCGGGCUUAACCUGGGAACUGCGCUUGUUACUGGCAGGCUUGAGUGUGGCAGAGGGGGGUGGAAUUCCACGUGUAGCAGUGAAAUGCGUAGAGAUGUGGAGGAACACCGAUGGCGAAGGCAGCCCCCUGGGCUAACACUGACGCUCAUGCACGAAAGCGUGGGGAGCAAGCAGG